GCGUCCGUCCCGGCAGUGAGGGUAUUUCGGUACCUGGACACCAUCUCCAAGCCUCAGCACAGGGCCUGCCCGCUGCCUCCUGGAAAAGGCACUUAGGGUUUACACAAGUAUGGAAGCAGGCCUGGAUCCAAUAGGACUGGUGCCCUCAUAAGAAGAGGAAGAGACACGGGAGACAUACUCACAGAGGGACGACCACGUAAGGACACAGUGAGAAGGUGACCACCUACAAGCCAAGGAGAUUGGCCUCAGGAGAAACCGACCCUGUGGACACCUUGGUCUCAGACUUCCAGACUCCAGAACUUUGAGCAUCCUUGGAUUUUGACAUCUGCAAGGAUCCUGGAACCAAUCCUCCAUGGACACCAAGGGAUGACUGUAAAAAACACAAAAGG